rnacentral:rRNA from 1 species
UGGUGGAGUGAUUUGUCUGGUUAAUUCCGAUAACGAACGAGACCUUAACCUGCUAAAUAGUCACGGGAAGCACAUUGCUUGCCGCUUGGCUUCUUAGAGGGACAAUCUGCUUCCAGCAGAUGGAAGUGUGAGGCAAUAACA